GACUAGAUGGCCGAGUGGUCUAAGGCGCUGUGUUAAGGUCGCAGUUCACGAAAGUGAGCACGGGUUCGAACCCCGUUCUAGUUA
rnacentral:tRNA from 1 species